rnacentral:rRNA from 1 species
AGCAGCCGCGGUAAUUCCAGCUCCAAUAGCGUAUAUUAAAGUUGUUGCAGUUAAAAAGCUCGUAGUUGAAUUUCGGGGUUAGUAGGUUGGUCAUGCCUCUGGUAUGUACUGAUCUCACUGAUUCCUCCUUCCUGAUGAACCGUAAUGCCAUUAAUUUGGUGUUGCGGGGAAACUGGACUGUUACUUUGAAAAAAUUAGAGUGUUUAAAGCAAGCUAAACGCUUGAAUACAUUAGCAUGGAAUAAUGAAAUAGGACGUUCGAUCCUAUUUUGUGUUCUAGGAUUGACGUAAUGAUUAAUAGGGAUAGUUGGGGCAUUAGUAUUCAAUUGUCAGAGGUGAAAUUCUU